GAGAAAACCCGUGUUAAUAAUGACAAGAAUUUUGAAAGGAUUUAUGUUCAAGGAGGUUUCAAUGCGAAGAAGCCAUUGGGGUUGGAAAAUGCUGAUUUAGAUGAACAUGCUGCAACUGGUCAACAUGAGAAAGUUGAGAGCGUGAAAGAGGGUGAGGAGUCACAGACGGUGAAGGAAGCAUGGAAGUUGUUGGAGAAUGCUGUUGUUAAAUAUUGUGGGAGCCCUAUAGGGACUCUUGCUGCUAAUGAUCCUAAUGAUAAAUUGCCAUUGAAUUAUGAUCAAGUAUUUAUUAGGGAUUUUAUUCCUUCCGCCCUCGCUUUUUU
rnacentral:misc_RNA from 1 species